rnacentral:tRNA from 2 species
ACCCUGACACUAGCUCCAGGGAAGAGCA